rnacentral:rRNA from 1 species
CAGUAGCCGCGGUAACACAGAGGGUGCGAGCGUUAAUCGGAUUUACUGGGCGUAAAGCGUGCGUAGGCGGCUUUUUAAGUCGGAUGUGAAAUCCCUGAGCUUAACUUAGGAAUUGCAUUCGAUACUGGGAAGCUAGAGUAUGGGAGAGGAUGGUAGAAUUCCAGGUGUAGCGGUGAAAUGCGUAGAGAUCUGGAGGAAUACCGAUGGCGAAGGCAGCCAUCUGGCCUAAUACUGACGCUGAGGUACGAAAGCAUGGGGAGCAAACAGGAUUAGAUACCCCUGUAGUCCUUGUCUCUUAUAA